AGCCGCAGGCGGAACUCGCUCGGCUCGUCACCCCUUCACCCGGUGCGCCUGGGCCGUGUCCGGGCCCACGCCGGACCCGCCGGACCCUCGAUCUUGCGCGUGGCCCCGCACCCAGCCCUCCCCGGAGCUCAGGUGCACUGGGCUGGGAGACACCGCUGGGCUGCGCGGCGUGGGAGGAGCCCGCAGAGGGCGUGGUGGGGACCCGGUGGCAGGAGGAACAGCAUCAGCCCUGGUCGCACCACUUUCCCCGCUCCCCCCACCCAGGUAGAGAAGGCAGGGGCUGCAGGACCGGGGCCAGCCACAACCCUCUCCCGCUCCAAGGAGGACAUGGGCGAAGGGAGUUUCAGGUCAUAGGGGCAGCCCCGAGAAAGGGGCCCCAUGGGCAACUCGCGGCCGUCGGUUGUUGCGAGUGCCCCUGAAGUGGCGCGGACCCCACCGCCCGGCGUCUGCCCUGGGUGACAGGAGGGCACCUAGAAGUGAGGGAAGAACUGCCGCCACUCCUGCCGCGCGAUCGGGAGGAGCGCUGCCGGCGCUGCCCGCGUUCUCGCCUCCUUUUAAAAGAACCGCCAAAGUGGUCACCGAAAACGGAGGAGGAAGAGAACGCUCAGCUGCAGCAAAAGAAACCAAUGGGCAGGAGAGAUGAAGAGAAGAAACUUUAACGAAAUUUUAUAAAAAAUGCAUUCAGGCAGCUGCAACCUCGUGGCCCCCGCCGCAGCCUGGACCUUGGGGAACCAGCAGCCCAGAGCCAGGAAGCCCCAGCAUUCAGGGCCCAGACAGACCCCAAAAUCCCAGACCAGAGGCAGGCAAGGAUGGUGCGAGGAGGAGCCCAGGACCCACACGCCAGGGCCAGGGCCAGCGCCGGCUCCCAGUGGGUGCCUCCUUCCAAGGCUGGAGAGGAGACAGAUGGAGGGCUCCCCAGGUCGGAGCAACCCCUACAGGCCGGGCAGGUGGAGGGAAGGGUGCAGGUCAUGGAGACCUCCCCUCAGCCUGGAACUGGUUUCUCCUCUGCCUUUCCGCCUGUGGGUGUCCCUGUGCUCUGGUAACACCCCAGGCACCAGCUGUGCCCUCACCAGGCUACCUGCCCGCCCCUUCCUUCCGCCAUCUCCAUCAGUGGGGCUGCUUCAGAGCCACGGCCCUUCUGGGGCUCCAGGGGAGGAUGCACCCGCAGCAUGCUCUGCACUGAGGAGCAGGCAGUGGGCGCUGAUGCCACCUGUCCUGCCGACAGCUCCUCACCCAGCAAGGCCGACCCAGCCCUGGGUGAAAGAGGAGCCAGUGAGGUAGACUGGGGAGAGGCUGCACCUUCACCCACGCCUGCCCACAGCAUGGCCCGUCCACUUCCUGCACGGGCACUGGGAUCUGCUUUCCAUGGAGCCCCACGGCCAUAACCAGCCCGGUCCUGGGAGAGGACAGCCUGGGUGGUGGUGUGUCUGCAGACACAAAGAUCUGGGCCCAGGGCCCAGGAAGUGACUGGCUCAGCCUGGAGUCUCCCCCAGCACUAGAAGCAGAGCUGCCAAGGGCUGCCGCUAUGGAGAACAUGGGAUUUGAGGAAGGCAGGAGUCCUUUCCCUCAUACUUUGUGAGUAGGCAGAUGUGCCAGGAGAGAUGGAGUAAGAUAAGGAAUGUGCGUUUAGCUUUAAUGUCUAUUAAAUAGGUUGGGAAAAACAGGCCAAGUGUAGGGACCUGACUCCUGCAAAGGGCCUACCACAGCCCUCUGCACUCAAGCAGCAGCCCCAUCCAGACCAGGAGCGUUCUGUUCUCCUGGCAGACAGGGCUGACAGGUGUAGGAUGGCGUCUGUUUCCUUUGGAGUGUGGGCUGGUCAGAGGAGAAACAGCAACUUCCUGCUCCUUCUCACUGUGUCGUUGGUUCACCGUAGACCACGUCCUGCAUUCCCUCUGAUUCUCUCAUGGGGAGAGCCCUGGACCUUCUGGUGGUGUCCCAGCUGGGUGGGUUCAAGGCUGCCACCCCGCUUGGGGCAGCUGGCCUGCAGGGAAGGGCCAGACGGCACCUCUCAGUGGAGACUGAAUCUUCCUUCCUUCAGGAGGCUGCCUCCACGGAAGACCUGGGGUCCUUCCUGUGCUCAGCGCUGGCUGGCUGUCCUGUUCAUGCAGUGGAAGACAUUACAGAAGAAUUCAUACCAGAAGAACAUGAAGCCCGUGGAGAGGGCAGCCUUCAGCAAGCUGGGGGACAGGCCCUUGAAGAAGCCCAGGGCGCCUUCCUUUUGCAGCACCUGCUUGGCACAGUCCAUGAGGCCCUUGUAUCUCCGCACCUGCGGAGAGGAAAGGGAUGAAAAUAUGGAUGCCCGCUCUGCUCCCAUUAACACAGCCCCUGGCACAUCACAGCUCUGAAGAAGUACUUGCUGGACAAAGAAAUGAAUGCAAAAUAGCAAAUUAUUUUAUUUUAUUUUUUCGUUGAGGCAGAGUCUCACUCUGUUGCCCAGGCUGGAAUGCAGUGGCACAAUCUUGGCUCAUUGCAGCCUCUGCCUCCCAGGUUCAAGUGAUUCUCCUGCCUCAGCCUCCUGAGUAGCUGG
rnacentral:antisense_RNA from 1 species